CACGUAGGCGGUCUGUUAUGUCGGAUGUGAAAGCCCUUGGCUCAACUGAGGAAGUGCACCCGAAACUGGCAGGCUAGAGUACGAAAGAGGAUCGCGGAAUUCCCGGUGUAGAGGUGAAAUUCGUAGAUAUCGGGAGGAACACCGGUGGCGAAGGCGGCGAUCUGGGUCGAUACUGACGCUGAGGUGCGAAAGCGUGGGAGCAAACA
rnacentral:rRNA from 1 species